AUGGAGUACGAUGAGCGGUACACACCGUUCUACAAGAGAGCCCGACUAUUGGGUUUCGUCCUGCAGUUCAAGCGUAAGCCGCCGACUCUCGUCCACCCAACUCUCACGGCUUUGAUCGAUCGGUGGCGACCAGAGACGCACAACUUUCAUCUUCCAUGUGGGGAGAUGACCGUGACCCUUGACACGUCCAUUUUGCAUCAUGUUUACGUACUGUUACUUAUAUUGUUUUUAUGCAUAAUAAUGCUUUUUGGAGUAAUUCCAAUGCCUUUUAUCUCAUAA
rnacentral:rRNA from 1 species